UACGAAGGGGGCGAGCGUUGUUCGGAUUUACUGGGCGUAAAGGGCGCGUAGGCGGUGUUUUAAGUGAGGCGUGAAAGCCCUGGGCUUAACCCAGGAGGUGCGCUUCAUACUGAAAUGCUUGAGUGCGAGAGAGGAAAGUGGAAUUCCUAGUGUAGAGGUGAAAUUCGUAGAUAUUAGGAAGAACACCAGGGGCGAAGGCGGCUUUCUGGCUCGUAACUGACGCUGAGGCGCGAAAGCGUGGGGAGCAAACAGG
rnacentral:rRNA from 1 species